AGAGUUUGAUCAUGGCUCAGGAUGAACGCUGGCGGCGUGCUUAACACAUGCAAGUCGAGCGAAGCAUCUGCAACGAACCCUCCGGGGUGAGGAGCAUUUGACUGAGCGGCGGACGGGUGAGUAACGCGUGGGCAACCUGCCCCAUACCGGGGGAUAACAGUUAGAAAUGACUGCUAAUACCGCAUAAGCGCACAGCGCCGCAUGGCGCAGUGUGAAAAGCUCCGGCAGUAUGGGAUGGGCCCGCGUCUGAUUAGGUAGUUGGUAAGGUAACGGCUUACCAAGCCUGCGAUCAGUAGCCGGCCUGAGAGGGUGGACGGCCACAUUGGGACUGAGACACGGCCCAAACUCCUACGGGAGGCAGCAGUGGGGAAUAUUGCACAAUGGGCGCAAGCCUGAUGCAGCGACGCCGCGUGAGUGAAGAAGUAUUUCGGUAUGUAAAGCUCUAUCAGCAGGGAAGAAAAUGACGGUACCUGACUAAGAAGCCCCGGCUAACUACGUGCCAGCAGCCGCGGUAAUACGUAGGGGGCAAGCGUUAUCCGGAUUUACUGGGUGUAAAGGGAGCGUAGACGGCGUAUCAAGUCUGGUGUGAAAGGCGGGGGCUCAACCCCCGGACUGCAUUGGAAACUGGUAUGCUUGAGUGCCGGAGGGGUAAGCGGAAUUCCUAAGUGUAGCGGUGAAAUGCGUAGAUUAUUAGGAGGAACACCAGUGGCGAAGGCGGCUUACUGGACGGUAACUGACGUUGAGGCUCGAAGCGUGGGGAGCAAACAGGAUUAGAUACCCCGGUAGUCCACGCCGUAACG
rnacentral:rRNA from 1 species